UGCGUAGGCGGCUUUCCAGGUCUGAUGUGAAAUCUUACGGCUCAACCGUAAAAUUGCGUUGGAAACCGGAAAGCUUGAGUGUGCUAGGGGUGUGUGGAACUUCCGGUGGAGCGGUGAAAUGUGUUGAUAUCGGAAGGAACGCCGGUGGCGAAAGCGACACACUGGGGCAUAACUGACGCUGAGGCACGAAAGCUAGGGUAGCGAACG
rnacentral:rRNA from 1 species